GAGGCGUGUGGCUUCCUGUGCCCCACCCUCCUUUUCCCUUGAGAAGAAGGUACAUAGACUCUUCAGCAUCCUGCUCAGUCUCUACAAGCCCUGCUGGCCCUCAGCUCCAGCUACCAGCAGAAACUCCCUGUCCAAGGAGGCUCAUAGCAGCUAACCAGACAACAGAGAAGGAAGCUGCUUGCAGACAACAGAGAAAGAAGCUGCUUGCUGUAGCCAGCACCUUCAGGAUGGCAGACAGCCGACAGGGCAUCUCACCCUGAAGGUGUUAUUUGGGCCUGGCACCAAGACUAGACAUAGAUGGAUGGAGAGAGGCUGGAGAGAGUACCUGUAGAAAAGUAUUUGUGAUUCUUCCGUGUUUUCUGUCAGGUUGCUUAAGGAAUAAUUAUUCAUGUAUAAA